CAUUGAUAGCGUCACAGCUCG
rnacentral:rRNA from 1 species